ACCCCAGCUCCUGCUCCCCGGCGGCGGCCGGUGGGCAGAAAGACCGAAACCCACUCACGGCCGCCUGCCGAAUCGCGGCUCUGCUGUUUGUGGGGCGUGCUAGAAACGUGGUCCUAAAAAGAAUGGCGUCCAUUUACAUAAUGCUUUGUUUGCGUUUCGCAAGUUUCUUUCGGUUAAAGCCACAGAAACCCCACCUCCUGCCCUUGUGUCGUUUCCACCGCGGCACCCUUUUCCGACAUUAGAAACAAUAGUGUACGCCUGUGGAGGCCUCGUUUGUUCAGGGGCUGCCGGCCAGGGCUUCAGGACGUUUCUGCGGCUUUCCCCGCGCGGCCUGGGCUCCCGCGGCUGCUUUUCGGGCCCAUGGGCGCAGCCACUGCGCCAGGCUCAAGGGGGGCGGCCCCGUCAGGGCCCGCCAUCUUGGAAGGCCUUUUUUGCCGGUUCUUCCCGCUGAGGAAGUGUCGCUCAAGACGCUGGCCUAUGAGUUGUGAUUUCUGCCUUUUCCCCUUCCUCCUUGGGCUAAGCCAGACCAGAAAGGGCCCCGUGCGCAACGUGCUUCACAAUCUCUCAGGGAAAGCGGCUAACGUGGCGCUACUCCGCCUCCCCUGUUCCUUACCCUUGGGGCGGCCGCCAUGUUUCCUGAACACAAAAUGGCGACACGUGGUUAGCAUUCGUCGCCAACGAGAAAUUGGGGUCGGCCCGAAAGCUCUAGAAUGCACCCCUCUUCCUCCCCGGGGCCUUCCACCUCCGCGAGUUUUAUGACUUAAAAAAGCCCACAGGCUGGUCUGAAGGUCGGAGGCCUAAUUUUAACGCGUUUUCCUCCCUUUAAUUUGAAACGGGAACGCGAAUGACUGUAAAAUGUGGGCACAAUAUUUAAUCUCUCGCCUUUUUAAAGCUUAAUAGUGGAUAAUAGGGGGGCAGUAUCAAGGGAUAAUUUGGGUCCCCACAGUACCAAAGCAUUUAGAAACCUCUGUUUAAUUUAAGGAAUGAGAUAAGUUACUGCUUUUCUAGACUUCCUAGCAUGGGCUGUUGUGCUGGAGAGAACGAGAGCUACGAAGAGACUACAGUGCCUCUGACUUUUUCAUAGGACAGUUGGCCGGUGAAUCUUAUUAAUAGUUUACCACAAUUAAGUGUUCAUUUUUAGUCUAGAAGGGACAGGCGUUUAUUGUGCAUUGGCCAGUGCCAGCACAUCCGAUGCAAGGCAGUUCACCGUAUUCUAUCUUUAAUUUUUACCAUGGUCCUCUGAGGUAGGUGUUCUUAUCUCUCUCUCUCUCUCUCUCUUUUAAACAGAGGAAGACAAACAUAAAGAUGAAGUGCUUAAUUCAAGGUCACACAAUGUCGGGGAUGGACCUCCAGAUUUCCUUACUGACCUGCAUUAUCUUGUGGAUACCUGAGUGAAUUCCACACCACCCAUUUUAUAGAUGAAACCACUGAGACAUGGAGCAAUUGACUGAGUAGUCACUGCCCCACCCCUGCCUGGAGCCUCACACAUGACUCGCCUCCUCUCAGUGACCACAGGAAAACAAGCUCAGGGCUCCCACUGAUUGUACAUUAUGGUGAGACGUGGUCUUGUAACACAGUGGUUAAGAAUGUGACUUUGGAGCCAGCCUGCUAGGGGCUGAAUUCUGACUCAGCCAUUUACUAACUGUGUGACCUUAGGUGGAGUCUCACUCUGUAGCCCAAGCUGGAGUGGCGUGAUCUCGACUCACUGCAACCUCCGCCUCCUGGGAUCAAGUGAUUCUCGUGCCUCAGCCUCCUGAGUAGCCGGGACUACAGGUCACAGAAUUUUCCACACUCCUUGACAGAGGUGCUUAACCCUUAUCCAUCAGCAUUCUCAGACAGCACCUCCGGUUAGGGACAGUAUCUGACCGUCCGACAUCCCUGCAGCCCCCAUGUGUCACACAGACUCAGCCUCAGGUAGAUGGUUUCCGUAGAUGGUGGCUUUCUUUGGACCCUUGACAUCAACCAGUUACUAUUUGGUAAGAACUUAAGUCAUUCCAGUGCCUCUCUCAGAAGCAUUUGCAUUUAGAAUUUCAGGUGUCAUAGAAGUAAUGAAAGACGUUGCAUUCCUGAAGGAAUGAAUAAAUUAUUCAUUUUGUUGUUCU
rnacentral:lncRNA from 1 species